rnacentral:tRNA from 1 species
UGGGGUAUCGCCAAGCGGUAAGGCACCAGGUUUUGAUCCUGGCAUACCUUGGUUCGAAUCCAGGUACCCCAGCCA